GUCGAGCGCGCCUUUCGGGGUGAGCGGCGGACGGGUUAGUAACGCGUGGGAAUAUGCCCUUUGGUACGGAAUAGCCUCUGGAAACGGAGAGUAAUACCGUAUGAGCCCUUCGGGGGAAAGAUUUAUCGCCAAAGGAUUAGCCCGCGUUAGAUUAGGUAGUUGGUGGGGUAAUGGCCUACCAAGCCUACGAUCUAUAGCUGGUUUUAGAGGAUGAUCAGCAACACUGGGACUGAGACACGGCCCAGACUCCUACGGGAGGCAGCAGUGGGGAAUCUUGGACAAUGGGGGCAACCCUGAUCCAGCCAUGCCGCGUGAGUGAUGAAGGCCUUAGGGUCGUAAAGCUCUUUCGCCUGUGAAGAUAAUGACGGUAGCAGGUAAAGAAACCCCGGCUAACUCCGUGCCAGCAGCCGCGGUAAUACGGAGGGGGUUAGCGUUGUUCGGAAUUACUGGGCGUAAAGCGCACGUAGGCGGAUCGGAAAGUUGGGGGUGAAAUCCCGGGGCUCAACCCCGGAACUGCCUCCAAAACUAUCGGUCUAGAGUUCGAGAGAGGUGAGUGGAAUUCCGAGUGUAGAGGUGAAAUUCGUAGAUAUUCGGAGGAACACCAGUGGCGAAGGCGGCUCACUGGCUCGAUACUGACGCUGAGGUGCGAAAGUGUGGGGAGCAAACAGGAUUAGAUACCCUGGUAGUCCACACCGUAAACGAUGAAUG
rnacentral:rRNA from 1 species